rnacentral:rRNA from 1 species
AGCAGCCGCGGUAAUUCCAGCUCCAAUAGCGUAUAUUAAAGUUGUUGCAGUUAAAAAGCUCGUAGUUGAAUUUCGGGAUCAGCAGGUCGGUCGUGCCAAUGGUAUGCACUGGCCUUGCUGAUUCCUCCCUCUUGAUGAGCCGUAAUGCCAUUAAUUUGGUGUUGCGGGGAAUCAGGACUGUUACUUUGAAAAAAUUAGAGUGUUUAAAGCAGGCAAGCGCUUGAAUACAUUAGCAUGGAAUAAUGAAAUAGGACGUUUGAUCCUAUUUUGUUGGUUUCUAGGAUUGACGUAAUGAUUAAUAGGGAUAGUUGGGGGCAUUAGUAUUCAAUUGUCAGAGGUGAAAUUCUUGGAUUUAUUGAAGACUAACUACUGCGAAAGCAUUUGCCAAGGAUGUUUUCAUUAAUCAAGAACGAAAGUUAGGGGAUCGAAGACGAUCAGAUACCGUCGUAGUCUUAACCAUAAACUAUGCCGACUAGGGAUCGGAUGAUGUUAAUUUUUAAUGACU